rnacentral:lncRNA from 1 species
CUGUACCAUUUAUAUAGGAAGAAAUGCUAUUUUUGCUUUAAGUACCUACUAAUAUACUCUGAUAAACUAAAUACACUUCCUUGUCUGCCUGUCCGUUCAACAGCGGCAGCCGCUACCGCCUUCCCGCUGCUACCGUCGAGCCUCCCGAAUUGCGAGCAUGUUCUUUACUUGUGCAUGGGCAUCCGCUGUGCUCUCCUCUUCAUGCAUAGACCCUGAUAAUGUGUCCCUUCUUUCCAAUCUCCCUUUGACCGUGCGUGCAUUCUUCCAUGACUGUCACCAUGGCGGCCACGCCGUCAACGUCAUUCCCCGGUUGUCCUAGGAGUGCGUGAGCCUCCAUGCCCGGUCAUGUUCCUCAUUGCAGCGGUGCCGGCAGAUCCUGUUGUCGCCCUUUCCCCUUCCGUGCCUGAAUGUUCAGGAUGUCAGCUUGGAAAGUUGAAUUAUGUUGGAUGGACUCAUAUGCUACUUGGUUAUACUGAUUUCUCAUAUGAACCAUGCCAUCAGCUUCAAUUGGGAUAAAGGCUUGGUAAAAUGUGUCUACAACAGUACCAUAAGGAGCAACUUACUACUGCUGAAAAUGUGUGUAAGUCUCUCAUUUUGAACUCAAUUCUCCCUUCAUUGGCAUCUUGGCUGUACACAUUGAUUUGCUCUUGUGAGUGGUAGUGCAUUGAAGAAUUAUUUGAUCUGUCGGUGUGUCUUCUGGUUUCGCUGAAACUAUUUCUUGGAAUUACUUACAUGUGAUGUUUAAUGUAGAAAUCAAUUCCUAUUCGAUGAGUACAUAUAUUCUUCAAGCACACAAGUUCACAAAUUAUAGAUGUGUUAACGGGGCAAAUAUUAUAGAUAAGCAAAUAAAAUUUAAAUGAUUUAUUGGACAACAUGAAUUGUCAGAACUACAUAUGAAGAUGCCGCACAUGGAAUGGUGUAUGUAUGCAAAUUUAAUUACAUGAUGUACCUGAGAUAUUUGAUUAGCUCAUCCAUCUCCCCACAUGCUAAUCAUUGUCCUUCUAUCUAUAAUUUGUGUGGCGGAGAAAAGCUAUUUAUGUUACCAUCUGUAUAUAAUAUCAACACACGAGGGAAAUAACUUUGGAAUACCCAGUAGAAAAUUUUAGAAAGUUCAAAGUUUCAGCAGUUUCUGCACAAGCAGAAUUUUCUUUACCAAAACAACAAGUUGAUGUCACAGGUCUCUCGCAGUUGCAAGAAUCCCGGUCUCUCGCAG